UGGGGUGUCGCCAAGCGGUAAGGCACGGGGUUUUGAUCCCCGCAUUCGCAGGUUCGAAUCCUGCCACCCCAG
rnacentral:tRNA from 1 species